rnacentral:tRNA from 1 species
GGCCGAGUGGCGGAAUGGCAGACGCUCUGGACUUAAAAUCCAGUGGGAGGGGUAACCCUCGUGCGGGUUCGACUCCCGCCUCGGCUA